GCUCCAGGCUGUGUGAGCAGCGUCUGGUCUCUAGCUGAGGAAAGGGGAGUAGAAGUAACUCAACCAAGUGGUUUGCUUUUCAGAACGAGUAUACCAAUGUGGCUGGGUAAAGCUUGCAUAUAUGAUGGUAUACAUUUGGAGUAGAACCAUGGCUAGGGUUGGGCUGAGGCUGUACAGUCGUUUGGUUAGUUAUGUGCAAAGACAGUCCAGCUAUAGUUGCCUUCCCCAGGAAGAAAGUGAAAGUCGUUCAGAAUUAGUGGUACUUUGAAGCUAUGAAGAGGCUCAGGUAGGACUCCUUUGCAUGAGCUACCACCAGAGAUCUUCAGAUGCACUAACAGGUGCUGAACAGCUACUCUUCUCAGCAGAAAGAGCAUGAUGUUCAGCUGAAAGAGUGUUCCUCCAAGAUGAUAGACUCUGCUAAACCCCAGCUGGAUGGUGAGGAAUUCAACCCUAUGUUUGUAAAGCAAAGCCACUUAGACAAAGCAGAUAGCUGCCCAAGGAGAGCAGCAAGGAAACGACACCUACUUCAGACUUCAAGUUACAGCACCCAAGCUGAAGAAGUUCCUGCAACUUGUAAGGAUCUGGGGCUGGUAUUUUCCUUUGGGAUGAGGGGUGGAAAAAGAUGCCAACAAUGCAUUGGCUAACU